AGCUUUAAGUUAAUUUAUAUUUAAAGUGGAAUCUGCCCAGUGAUUAUUAUUUAACGGCCGCAGUACUUUGACUGUGCUAAGGUAGCAUAAUAAAUUGACUCUUAAUUGGGGCCUAGAAUGAAAGGGAAAUUAAAAAAUAACUGUCUUUUUUAAAUUAAAUAAAAUUUACUUAAUAGGUGAAAAUACCUAUAAUUUUUACAUAAGACGAGAAGACCCUAUGAAUUAUAAUUAAUAAAUAUUAUUGUAUUUUUAAUUUUUGUUGGGGCAACAAUGUUGGACAAUAAUCAACAACUAUAUUACUCACAUCUAUCAAUUUUUAUUAAUAAAAAAUAAAUUACCUUAGGGAUAACAGCAUAAUUAUAUAUUUAGAUUGUGACCUCGAUGUUGGAUUAAGGACUUUAAUUAUUAACCAUAAUUAGAGAUAGUUCUGUUCGAACUGUUAAACCUU
rnacentral:rRNA from 1 species